ACAAAAAUUUGGCAAAACUAGAGAAAUCUAGCGACGCAAAGCUAUAGGGCCUAAACAGGUAGCCAGUUGCACUU
rnacentral:ncRNA from 1 species